UACCUACUCCCUCCCUCCGAAAUUAUUUGUCGCAUAAAUGGAUAAAAAUGGAUGUAUCUAGAACUAAAUAUAUCUAGAUACGUCCAUUUCUCCGACAAGUAUUACCAGACGGAGGGAGUAGUUG
rfam:Triticum aestivum genome assembly, contig: Triticum_aestivum_CS42_TGACv1_scaffold_249615_3DL